rnacentral:rRNA from 1 species
CCUACGGGGUGCAGCAGUGAGGAAUAUUGGUCAAUGGACGGGAGCCUGAACCAGCCAAGUCGCGUGAGGGAUGACGGCCCUAUGGGUUGUAAACCUCUUUUGUCGGGGAACAAAGUGCCGCACGUAUGCGGUUUUGUGUGUACCCUAUGAAAAAGCAUCGGCUAACUCCGUGCCAGCAGCCGCGGUAAUACGGAGGAUUCGAGCGUUAUCCGGAUUUAUUGGGUUUAAAGGGAGCGUAGGCGGUUGCUUAAGUCCGGUGUGAAAGUUUGCGGCUCAACCGUACCAUUGCGGUUGAAACUGGGUGUCGUGAGUGUGGGAGAGGUAGACGGAAUUCGUGGUGUAGCGGUGAAAUGCUUAGAUAUCACGAAGAACUCCGAUUGCGAAGGCAGCAUACCGG